GAUGAACGCUGGCGGCGUGCCUAAUACAUGCAAGUCGAGCGAACGGACGAGAAGCUUGCUUCUCUGAUGUUAGCGGCGGACGGGUGAGUAACACGUGGAUAACCUACCUAUAAGACUGGGAUAACUUCGGGAAACCGGAGCUAAUACCGGAUAAUAUUUUGAACCGCAUGGUUCAAAAGUGAAAGACGGUCUUGCUGUCACUUAUAGAUGGAUCCGCGCUGCAUUAGCUAGUUGGUAAGGUAACGGCUUACCAAGGCAACGUUGCAUAGCCGACCUGAGAGGGUGAUCGGCCACACUGGAACUGAGACACGGUCCAGACUCCUACGGGAGGCAGCAGUAGGGAAUCUUCCGCAAUGGGCGAAAGCCUGACGGAGCAACGCCGCGUGAGUGAUGAAGGUCUUCGGAUCGUAAAACUCUGUUAUUAGGGAAGUACAUAUGUGUAAGUAACUGUGCACAUCUUGACGGUACCUAAUCAGAAAGCCACGGCUAACUACGUG
rnacentral:rRNA from 1 species